GCCGAAAUAGCUCAAUUGGUAGAGCAACUGAUUUGUAAUCAGUAGGUUGCGGGUUCAAGUCCUGUUUUCGGCACCA
rnacentral:tRNA from 1 species